AGAGUUUGAUCCUGGCUCAGAUUGAACGCUGGCGGCAUGCCUUACACAUGCAAGUCGAACGGCAGCACGGAGCUUGCUCUGGUGGCGAGUGGCGAACGGGUGAGUAAUAUAUCGGAACGUACCCUGGAGUGGGGGAUAACGUAGCGAAAGUUACGCUAAUACCGCAUACGAUCUACGGAUGAAAGUGGGGGAUCGCAAGACCUCAUGCUCGUGGAGCGGCCGAUAUCUGAUUAGCUAGUUGGUAGGGUAAAAGCCUACCAAGGCAUCGAUCAGUAGCUGGUCUGAGAGGACGACCAGCCACACUGGAACUGAGACACGGUCCAGACUCCUACGGGAGGCAGCAGUGGGGAAUUUUGGACAAUUGGGCGAAGCCUGAUCCAGCAAUGCCGCGUGAGUGAAGAAGGCCUUCGGGUUGUAAAGCUCUUUUGUCAGGGAAGAAACGGUGAGGGCUAAUAUCCCUUGCUAAUGACGGUACCUGAAGAAUAAGCACCGGCUAACUACGUGCCAGCAGCCGCGGUAAUACGUAGGGUGCAAGCGUUAAUCGGAAUUACUGGGCGUAAAGCGUGCGCAGGCGGUUUUGUAAGUCUGAUGUGAAAUCCCCGGGCUCAACCUGGGAAUUGCAUUGGAGACUGCAAGGCUAGAAUCUGGCAGAGGGGGGUAGAAUUCCACGUGUAGCAGUGAAAUGCGUAGAUAUGUGGAGGAACACCGAUGGCGAAGGCAGCCCCCUGGGUCAAGAUUGACGCUCAUGCACGAAAGCGUGGGGAGCAAAUAGGAUUAGAUACCCUGGUAGUCCACGCCCUAAACGAUGUCUACUAGUUGUCGGGUCUUAAUUGACUUGGUAACGCAGCUAACGCGUGAAGUAGACCGCCUGGGGAGUACGGUCGCAAGAUUAAAACUUAAAGGAAUUGACGG
rnacentral:rRNA from 1 species